UUUGAAGUUUUUCUUGGUAAAUUUCUUUAACUAUUGACUUUACUUUUUAUUGAAAUAAAAAUAAAAAUUGUUCAAAAGUAGUAAAUUUUUGCUGGUUGAAAACUCUAUGCCCUUUUAAAGUACAUGAAUACAGUUAAUAUUGUACUCUAAAGACUUAAUCUUUUAUUCAAUUACUAUUUUACAUAUUUUUUUCAAAAAUUGAAAAUUUGCGCUGGUCGACAACCCUAUGCAUCUAGUAAAUGUUUAAAUGUUGUGAUUUUCGAUUAAUAUUCACAGCAGCAAUAUAAGAUUUAUAAGAGUAUCGAAAUGAAAACAAUCACGAAUACGUCGUUAUGAAUUUCUUUAUGACAGUUUAUAACCAAAAAUGAAAUUUGCACCAAAAAGAUAAUGCAGCUCAGUCUCAUUCCCGCCAUCUUGAAUGUUGAAACGACUGUAAGUAUCGUUUUCAACUUCUACACAUCGAAUCCGUUCGAAAAAUACUUGUAUUUAGAAAAAUAUCUUCUAUUUAGAAACGGCUUCUAACGCCGUUUUCUAACAUCCACUCAUCAAAUUCGUUCGAAAAAUACUCAUAUUGUGAUGGUUUGUAACGAAUAUUAAUAUGUCGGAAAUCGCCAUCUUGGAUUUUGAAACGGCUUCCAAAGUCGUUUUCUAACAUCCACUCAUUAAAUACGUUCGAAAAAUAUUCAUAUUGUGAUAGUUUGUAACGAAUAUCGAUAUGCCGGAAGCCGCCAUCUUGUAUUCAGGAACGGCUUCUAACGUCGUUUUCUAAUAUCCACUCAUUAAAUCCCUUCGAAAAAUACUCAUAUUGUGAUGGUUUGUAACGAAUAUCGAUGAACCUGAAGUCGCCAUCUUGGAUUUUGGAAUGGCUUCUAACGUCAUUGUCUAACAUCCAUUCAUCAAAUCCGUUCGAAUAAUGCUCAUAUUGUGAUGGUUUGUAACGAACAUCGAUAUGCCGGAAGCCGCCGUCUUGUAUUUAGAAACGACUUCUAACGUCGUUUUCUAACAUCCACUCAUCAAAUCCGUUCAAAAAAUACUCAUAUUGUGAUGGUUUGUAACGAAUAUCGAUGAACCGGAAGUCGUCAUCUUGAAUUUUGAAACGGCUUCUAACGUCGUUUUCUAACAUCCAUUCAUCAAAUCCGUUCGAAAUAUACACACUAAGAUUUAAUUCCUUUAUUCGGUAAUAUUUUUGACGAAAACUUUCGGUAAUCUAUAGUAAUAACCGAUAUUUCGGUACAUGGGUUUUAUUUUACAACAAUUAUGCAAAUUUUCACCGAACGAUCAGUUUAACUUUAAUUUUCAUUACAGAAUUCUGUAUUAGAUAUACAAUUGAUACGGUAAACCUGAAUAGUCGCCGAAAACGGUAAAAAUCAUACUGUCCGUUUGGUAAAGUUAUCUUCCAAUAGCCGAACAUCUGUGAAAACCGAUUAUCAUGAAACUAACUGUCAAACAGUUAUUAAAAUAUUCAGUGAGUGUCUUUUUAUUAACCAAACGAAAAAAAUGUUGAAGGGUUCAUCGAUUGGAUUGAGGCGGAAAAUAAUUUUGUAUCACUUGUCCACUUGCUGCCAACACAAAUCGUUCAAGGGUAAUUUUUGUUGGACUCGACGGAUUGUGACGGAUUUGGAAGGCGCUCAUAAUUCCGGUCAGUCGGAACAUCUGACACUUUUUAAAUUUCUCGUGGAAUAAAACCAUUUUCUUCAUUCGUUUUUGUUAAUA